UGCAGGCGCUGGGGCUCCCAAAGGACGGAGCUUUGAAUCCACCUGGGAGGCUUAAGAGAAAGUGCUGAGUCCCCCAUGCCCUACCCCUGAGACUGCUGACAGGCAUCGCUGAGGGCUGCAGCUUUGGAAUCGGGCAUCUUCUGAGGAAGAGAAAGGCACCACAGCCACGGCACAGAAGACUAGUUCUAGGUGCAAUGUUUUAAGGGGAAGACUUACACUAUGAAGCUAGCCCAGAAGAGGGUGACUAGAGUACUGAGGAGUUUCUACCUGGAAGGGCUGUAAGACAACUGCUAUGUUGUGAGCGGCUCUAUGGAGAGGCCCAUGUGGAGGGAAGUGAGGAAGGCCUCUGGCCAACAGUCCAGGAGGAAGUGAAGCCCUCAGUCCAACAGCCUGUGUGGAACUGAACCCUGCAAACAACUCUGUGUGUGAGCUUGGAAGUGGAUCCAUAUUCAGUCAAACCUUGAGAUGGGACACCAUGCUCUGCUAACACUUGAUUGUGGUCCCAGCUAGGCCACUGCUGAAGUCUUGACUCAGAGAAACGAUGAUAUAGUAAAUGUUUGUUGUUUCAAGUUGGUAAGUUUUGGGAUAAUUUUUUAUAUAGUGAUAAUUUUUUAUAUACUUUAAAAUAACACAUUGCCCUAUCCUUUGGUUACACUUUUCUCUUGGAACUCUGCUUGCCCAUAUAUUACAGAAAUAUUUUUCAGAUCAUGGGCUGAAAGGUGGAUUAUGGAUGCAAUGUUUAAAUUUAGCAAUGUCAUUUAUGACUGUUCAUAUGAGCUUUGCUGCAUAAAAUGUUGAUAUUAAUUUGUUUCCCUUUAAGACAUUCUUAAUGUUUACCUCUCAGUAUUUUCUUUGUAAUCAAUUAAUGUAAGAUGAAUAUAGUUUGUAGGUUUUACCUUUCUUGAUUCGUAUACAAAACACACAACAUCCAACCAUUGUUAUUUAAAGAUUAUCUAGGAGGAGAUGAUGGAAACUCUGUUUUGGGCCACCUUCUUUACACAUUGGGUCUAUUUCCCCUAACUUGAGUAUAUAUUAAACUAGUGGGGGAUUGAGCUACAAAAAUGCUACUUGGUGAGAAUUUUAUUAAUACAAAUACUCAACUCUGAAGUUACGUUUUUGUGGAAAGUUAUCACUUUGGAAUUUGAAUUUUCUUGGAGCUAAGCCACUGGUAGUUGUAAAAGCUACACCUGUAAAUUUGCUCCCUAGAAGAUACUUUCGUUUAGUGACCACUUGUUUCUCUGUGGAUAAAUUCAAUUAUAAAUUACA
rnacentral:lncRNA from 1 species